AAUGCUAAAAGAAUGGAAAUUUAAAAAAAAACUUUUUUAAAAAUAAAAAUUGAAUUUUUUUUAAUUUGUGCAAAAACAAUUAUUAUUAUUAAAGACAAGAAGACCCUAAGAAUUUAUGAUUUUGUAAUUAAAAAAAUUUUUUUUUUAAAAAAUCUUGAUUGGGGCGAUCAAAAAAUAUUAAUAACUUUUUAAAUUUAAAUUGAUCUAUUAUUAAUAAACUAAUGAAUUAAAUACUCUAGGGAUAACAGCG
rnacentral:rRNA from 1 species